rnacentral:ribozyme from 1 species
AAAACAAAAAAAGGAGGGAAAAAAUAAGACCAUGGAGGCUAUGGAUCAUUUUUGUUGGUGUUCUUUUUGUUUUGUAUUUCUUCUU